UACCAGCUCUCCGAGUGGUGUGGAUGUUUAUUGGGCCUAAAGCAUCCGUAGCUGGCUGGCAAGUCCCCUGUUAAAUCCACCGAUUUAAUCGUUGGAGUACGGGGGAUACUGUUCGGCUAGGGGACGGGAGAGGCAGACGGUAUUUUCGGGGUAGGGGUGAAAUCCUAUAAUCCCGGGAAGACCACCAGUGGCGAAGGCUGUCUGCUAGAACGCGCCCGACGGUGAGGGAUGAAAGCUGGGGGAGCGAACCGGAUUAGAUACCCGGGUAGUCCCAGCUGUAAACGAUGCAGGCUAGGUGUUUGGGCGGCCACGUGCCGCUCUAGUGCCGCAGGGAAGCCGUUAAGCCUGCCGCCUGGGGAGUACGGCCGCAAGGCUGAAACUUAAGGAAUUGGCGGGGAGCACCACAAGGCGUGAAGCUUGCGGUUC
rnacentral:rRNA from 1 species